rnacentral:rRNA from 1 species
GAUGAACGCUGGCGGCAUGCCUAAAACAUGCAAGUCGAACGAGAGGAAGGAAAGCUUGCUUUCCUGAAUCUAGUGGCGAACGGGUGAGUAACACGUAGGUAACCUGCCCAUGUGCCCGGGAUAACUUCUGGAAACGGAUGCUAAAACCGGAUAGGUAGCAGACAAGCAUUUGACUGCUAUUAAAGUGGCCUUGGCCAUGAACAUGGAUGGACCUGGGGUGCAUUAGCUGGUGUGUGAGGUAACGGCCCACCAAGGCGACGAGGCAUAGCCGGCCUGAAAGGGCGGACGGCCACAUUGGGACUGAGACACGGCCCAAACUCCUACGGGAGGCAGCAGUAGGGAAUUUUCGUCAAUGGGGGGAACCCUGAACGAGCAAUGCCGCGUGAGUGAGGAAGGUCUUCGGAUCGUAAAGCUCUGUUGUAAGAGAAAAACGGCACUCAUAGGGAAUGAUGAGUGAGUGAUGGUAUCUUACCAGAAAGUCACGGCUAACUACGUGCCAGCCGCCGCAGUAAGAC